rnacentral:lncRNA from 1 species
AGCCCUGCAGAGAUACGGUUUUACUAGGAAGAAUAUCUGUUCUGUGGUCAUUGUCAUAAAAUUUCUUCAUCAAGUUUCAGCUCCAGUUCUUAAUGUUUUAGGAGGAAAGCAAAAGACUGUUUCCAGAUGUUUGAAAAAUAAUUGUUUUUGGCAGAAUGCUUAGCAAGUGAAGUUUAACGUUGGUUGUGCUCACUACUGAGGAAGUUCAGAAAUUUCAACUUAAACAAUGGAUAUGAAAUGUAUCCUGAAAUUCAAUUUCAGGCCUCCUGCAUUUGUGGGCCAGGCCUCCUGCAUGUGUAUUUUCUGUCUUUACAGCAGUGUGGUUGCUACAUAUCUGAAGCUAAGAUGAUUUGAGUUAAAG